UACGUAGGGUGCAAGCGUUUAAUCGGAAUUACUGGGCGUAAAGCGUGCGCAGGCGGUUUUGUAAGUUUGUCGUGAAAUCCCCGGGCUCAACCUGGGAAUGGCGAUGAAGACUGCAAGGCUAGAAUCUGGCAGAGGGGGGUAGAAUUCCACGUGUAGCAGUGAAAUGCGUAGAGAUGUGGAGGAACACCGAUGGCGAAGGCAGCCCCCUGGGUCAAGAUUGACGCUCAUGCACGAAAGGCGUGGGGAGCAAACGAGG
rnacentral:rRNA from 1 species